GUGUCAGCCGCCGCGGUAAUACGUAGGUGGCAAGCGUUGUCCGGAUUUACUGGGCGUAAAGAGCGCGCAGGCGGUCGUUCAAGUCGAGUGUGAAAGCCCCCGGCUCAACUGGGGAGGGUCACUCGAUACUGAUCGACUUGAAGGCGGGAGAGGGAAGCGGAAUUCCCGGUGUAGUGGUGAAAUGCGUAGAUAUCGGGAGGAACACCAGUGGCGAAGGCGGCUUUCUGGCCCGUUCUUGACGCUGAGGCGCGAAAGCUAGGGUAGCAAACGGGAUUAGAUACCCCGGUAGUCCUAGCCGUAAACGAUGGACACUAGGUGUUGGCGGUAUCAACCCCGCCAGUGCCGAAGCUAACGCAUUAAGUGUCCCGCCUGGGGAGUACGGCCGCAAGGCUAAA
rnacentral:rRNA from 1 species